CAAUAGAAGAGGUAGUGUUACUACAACCCUAUCACCAAUGAGUUACUACACUCCUACCACCGAUAGAGAAUUACUACAACCCUACCACCAACAGAAAAGAGCAUUACAACCCUACCACCAGUACAGCCUACAACCCUGCCACCAAUAUAUUACUAUUGGAACAGAUUUAACAUUUAAGACUGGGGCAGGUUUGACAUUUAAGCCAGCUCUGAAAUUACCGCAUCAUUCAGCUACUAACAGGGGCUGCGAGAGAACCAACGCCAUCAUG